rnacentral:rRNA from 1 species
AUUGAACGCUGGCGGCAUGCCUUACACAUGCAAGUCGAACGGGAGCACGGGAGCAAUCCUGGUGGCGAGUGGCGAACGGGUGAGUAAAGUAUCGGAACGUGCCCAGUCGUGGGGGAUAACGUAGCGAAAGUUACGCUAAUACCGCAUACGAUCUAUGGAUGAAAGCGGGGGAUCGCAAGACCUCGCGCGAUUGGAGCGGCCGAUAUCAGAUUAGGGAGUUGGUGGGGUAACGGCUCACCAAGCCGACGAUCUGUAGCUGGUCUGAGAGGACGACCAGCCACACUGGGACUGAGACACGGCCCAGACUCCUACGGGAGGCAGCAGUGGGGAAUUUUGUGCAAUGGGCGAAAGCCUGAGCCAGCCAUGCCGCGUGCAGGAUGAAGGCCUUCGGGUUGUAAACUGCUUUUGUACGGAACGAAAAGGUUUGGCCUAAUAAGCUGAGCUCAUGACGGUACCAUAAGAAUAAGCACCGGCUAACUACGUGCCAGCAGCCGCGGUAA